rnacentral:rRNA from 1 species
UACGUAGGGGGCAAGCGUUUGUCCGGAAUCAUUGGGCGUAAAGGGCGCGUAGGUGGCCCGGUCAGUUCGUGGUGAAAGCGCGGGGCUCAACCCUGCGUCGGCCAUGAAUACUGCCGCGGCUGGAGCACUGUAGAGGCAGCGGAAUUCCGGGUGUAGCGGUGGAAUGCGUAGAGAUCCGGAAGAACACCGGUGGCGAAGGCGGCCGCUGGGCAGUUGCUUGACACUGAGGCGCGACACGUGGGGAGCAAACAGG